GACAGAGGGUGCAAACGUUGCUCGGAAUUACUGGGCGUAAAGCGUGCGCAGGCGGUUUUGUAAGCCAGAUGUGAAAUCCCCGGGCUCAACCUGGGAAUGGCAUUUGGGACUGCAAGGCUGGAGUUUGGCAGAGGAGACUGGAAUUCCUGGUGUAGCAGUGAAAUGCGUAGAUAUCAGGAGGAAUACCGAUGGCGAAGGCAGGUCUCUGGGCUAUAACUGACGCUCAUGCACGAAAGCGUGGGGAGCAAACAGG
rnacentral:rRNA from 1 species